GUCAUUUUAGAUAAGCCAAUUGACGUCAAAAUCGUCAUCAGGAAAAGUUAACUCUUUCCUGGAUAGGAUGGUUUCGUUAGACGAGACUGCCAUCUAUGGAUCAAAUACCUAAAUCGCGAUCCCUAGAUUGGACACACCUAUGGCUUCCUAUUGGGUUAUCAACUAAUGACGUACAGAGAGUCUGGCCCUUUAAAAGUUAAGACAGAGAAAGAAGAGGAGAGGAGAAAGAGGUAGGCGAGGAAUACAAGGGUAUACAAAGGAAGCAAAGAAGUGAGCAGUCGGAAGCAAUGCAGAGAGGCCUAUGACAGAUAUCCACUCUAGGACACUCAGAAAUUCCUACACACCUCCAUGCAGAGAGACAUCCAAAUAAGUUCCUGAGACUAUCUACCAAUCGGAUGAAAUAUCUACUCAACUGGUAAUUAUACUGGUUUCAUUUAAUUAAUUAAAUUAAUUAAAAUUUACUAAUAGCAUGAUAUAUGACUG